rnacentral:rRNA from 1 species
GGUCAAGUGAAGAAGCGCAUACGGUGGAUGCCUUGGCAGUCAGAGGCGAUGAAAGACGUGGUAGCCUGCGAAAAGCUUCGGGGAGUCGGCAAACAGACUUUGAUCCGGAGAUGUCUGAAUGGGGGAACCCAGCCAUCAUAAGAUGGUUACCUUACACUGAAUACAUAGGUGUAUGGAGCGAACCAGGGGAACUGAAACAUCUAAGUACCCUGAGGAAAAGAAAUCAACCGAGAUUCCCUUAGUAGUGGCGAGCGAACGGGGACUAGCCCUUAAGUGGCUUUGAGAUUAGCGGAACGCUCUGGAAAGUGCGGCCAUAGUGGGUGAUAGCCCUGUACGCGAAAAUCUCUUAGUCAUGAAAUCGAGUAGGACGGAGCACGAGAAACUUUGUCUGAAUAUGGGGGGACCAUCCUCCAAGGCUAAAUACUACUGACUGACCGAUAGUGAACUAGUACCGUGAGGGAAAGGCGAAAAGAACCCCGGAGAGGGGAGUGAAAUAGAUCCUGAAACCGUAUGCGUACAAGCAGUGGGAGCCCACUUUGUUGGGUGACUGCGUACCUUUUGUAUAAUGGGUCAGCGACUUAUUUUCAGUGGCGAGCUUAACCGAAUAGGGGAGGCGUAGCGAAAGCGAGUCUUAAUAGGGCGUCUAGUCGCUGGGAAUAGACCCGAAACCGGGCGAUCUAUCCAUGGGCAGGUUGAAGGUUGGGUAACACUAACUGGAGGACCGAACCGACUACCGUUGAAAAGUUAGCGGAUGACCUGUGGAUCGGAGUGAAAGGCUAAUCAAGCUCGGAGAUAGCUGGUUCUCCUCGAAAGCUAUUUAGGUAGCGCCUCAUGUAUCACUGUAGGGGGUAGAGCACUGUUUCGGCUAGGGGGUCAUCCCGACUUACCAAACCGAUGCAAACUCCGAAUACCUACAAGUGCCGAGCAUGGGAGACACACGGCGGGUGCUAACGUCCGUCGUGAAAAGGGAAACAACCCAGACCGUCAGCUAAGGUCCCAAAGUUAUGGUUAAGUGGGAAACGAUGUGGGAAGGCUUAGACAGCUAGGAGGUUGGCUUAGAAGCAGCCACCCUUUAAAGAAAGCGUAAUAGCUCACUAGUCGAGUCGGCCUGCGCGGAAGAUGUAACGGGGCUCAAACCAUACACCGAAGCUACGGGUAUCACGUAAGUGAUGCGGUAGAGGAGCGUUCUGUAAGCCUGUGAAGGUGAGUUGAGAAGCUUGCUGGAGGUAUCAGAAGUGCGAAUGCUGACAUGAGUAACGACAAUGGGUGUGAAAAACACCCACGCCGAAAGACCAAGGUUUCCUGCGCAACGUUAAUCGACGCAGGGUUAGUCGGUCCCUAAGGCGAGGCUGAAAAGCGUAGUCGAUGGAAAACAGGUUAAUAUUCCUGUACUUCUGGUUAUUGCGAUGGAGGGACGGAGAAGGCUAGGCCAGCUUGGCGUUGGUUGUCCAAGUUUAAGGUGGUAGGCUGAGAUCUUAGGUAAAUCCGGGAUCUUAAGGCCGAGAGCUGAUGACGAGUCGUCUUUUAGACGACGAAGUGGUUGAUGCCAUGCUUCCAAGAAAAGCUUCUAAGCUUCAGGUAACCAGG